rnacentral:lncRNA from 1 species
AGCAAGAGAAGCGUCCACUAAGUGAGGCGGCUGCUGCUGCUGCUGUUGAGGAGUAGGUGAAGAAGUAGAAGGAGAAGCACUGGUAGCAGCAGCAGCAGGUGAAGGACUUGCAGAAUUAGUAAGCCCAGGUGGUGCAGAAGGCUGCUGGAUGGAUAUAGAGGACAUAAAAGGAACUGAUGAUCUCCCAUGUUGUUGUUGUUGUUGUUGUUGUUGAAGCUGCUGCUGCUGG